rnacentral:rRNA from 1 species
CGAACGGGUGAGUAACACGUGGGUGAUCUGCCCUGCACUUCGGGAUAAGCUUGGGAAACUGGGUCUAAUACCGGAUAGGAGCCAUCUUUAGUGUGGUGGUUGGAAAGUUUUUUCGGUGUAGGAUGAGCUCGCGGCCUAUCAGCUUGUUGGUGAGGUAAUGGCCUACCAAGGCAGUGAUACGUAGCCGACUUGAGAGGGUGAUCGGCCACACUGGGACUGAGACACGGCCCAG